CAGGAGGCAGAGGUUGCAGUGAGCCAAGCUCAUACCACUGCACUCCAGCCUGGGUGACAAAGACUCCAUCUCAAAAAAAAAAAAAAAAAAAAUGCAUUUCAUGUUUAGCUUUUAGCCUCCACAAAGUAGUACACACCCUUUCAGUUGUGCUAUAAAAUCUCCCAAGCUUUUUCAGAGAACCUCUUAACCCUCACAGAAGUGGAAAAACAAUGGAAUAGAGGCCAGGAGCCCCAAGUUCAGGUUUUGCAGGCUCCGGGUAAGCUGGCUGGUCUAACGGAAGAUGAGGUGUUUGCAGCAGGCGGCUGUCUUGCAGCUCAGCAGGUGAGGGGACCUCGAGCAGGCUCUCGCAUUUUCCGGCUGAUCCUUCCGAGUCUGCUACUGCAGGGCCCUCGUAGGUGGGAGCAGCCUCAUCGUCGCCUUUCACACUGUGAGCUUUUCCUUUCCACGGUCAGAUGGACUUAGUGAGUUACCAGCGAUGGGUGUAAGACCUAAGACACCGCAGAAAGUUACAGAGUGGAAAAUGAGGGGCAGAGAAAAGAGGGUCUGAGAGGAACGCAAGCAUUCCGGAAUACAGUAAGGGACAUCCUAUCAGUGACACUUCUUGGGAACAGCCACUGCCUUAGAAACACCAGACCAGGAGAAUUUUCUGACCACAACCCCAAAGGCAGCCCAUGAAGAUGGCAGUUAGGAAGGAGGCGGUCUAGCAGGUGAAGACUUCCUUGCCAUCCAGGUCAACCCCCUUCUUGUUGAACAGUGGGAAGUCCUUUUAAAGCAGUCACCUGAAAAAUGUUUAAUAGAAAUUUGGGGAGAGUCUCUAUCUUGGAAGCUGCCUGCAGGAACCUCAUUCCUAUUCAUCGCCUCCUCUUGGAAGGCUAAUCUGCUAUUUCGGUUCCUUUAGCCUUAGAUAAGCUUUUAGGAACUAGUCAUGCCCUAGCUUAGAAGGAAAAAAGGUAACUGGAAAGGAAAACCUUUGGGAAUCUUAACACUGGGAGGAGAGGGGAAUGUAACUCAAUCCAUACAAUAACACAGUUCAUUGUAAAUAGACAUGUUGACUGUGGUAACAUGCUGUACUUUGUGCCUGACUGAUAAGAACAGCUGGAAAAUUUACACGAGGAAGGGAAAAUACUUGUUUCUGGGGAUAAAGAAAGGAUCAUGUUGUCUUUUCUUUCCUUACAGUGUCACUGAAUUGCCCCUGACUUAGCCUCUCCAUCAGCCAACAGAAUCACCACUUUCCUUCCUGGGAUGCGACGAUGUUGAAGUGAGACAAGGUUACGUCCAAAGGCUGGCAUAGUUGCUGGCAACGCUGAUCACUACUGCCAUUUCUUCCCGGCGUGUGCAAGGGGUAUUUCACGGGCCAUCUUUGGAGUCAUCGGGAGUGCAUGUGCCAGCGGUUCCCAAAUGUGAGCAUGCCUCAGGAUCACCUAAUGCACGCUCUAACCCAACGUUCAAACCCAGAAGACCGGUGAGGAAAAUCCUUUGGAUCAGUGAUGAUGGCUGCACCACUGGCAAGAUGAUUUUGGUCUUUUUUACUCACCAAUAUAUCUCCAGUGCUCAGCAGAUCUACUGAAUCCACUAUUUAGGAAAAGCCACAUUUCAGCAUUCUGCCCGUUAACCUGAAUUCUACAUGAAAGAGCUUUUACAACGUCAGGAAAUGAAGCUCCUCUCAUGCAUCUGAAGCAUGCAAUGGAGCAGAGAAAGAGCACACACUUACGACAUUAGCCAUGGCAUCCUAAAGACGUUCAAGACUACCCAGAACCACCUGAGAAUCGAUUUCAUGUAGGAUUACGUAUCUCUGCCUCGAAUUACACUAUAUUGGUAUAUACAGUAAUAUAUUUUAGGAAAACUGCGAAUACUUGAAUUGUUUUCCCAUUAACACAUACCACCGUUUAUGAGACGCUCUGAGUGACUGGCUGUUGUAAACGUCUUACUGACUGCCUCCUCACCACUGCCACCUACCUGGCUCCCUUCCUUACAUGUUUUCAAACUUUAAUACAUUUUAUGAUCAAAACUUUGGCAAUGUAAUGAAUAUUUUUGU